UACACGUGAACUGCAGUGUCUUACAUAGUACAGCUGCAAGGUUCCUUUUGAAAGUAACGAUCCCCAGCUCAUACCUAUGAGAAAAUCAAAGCAAACAUUUAGCCCUUGCUGGGAUCCAUUACACAGUAAGGAAAACCUUCCACUCUGCUGAAAGCGGUCUCUUACUUGGUUCUUAAGACUGGGGAGAUAGAGAGGUAAGUAAUGAUCAACCUGGUUUCUUCCCCUCUUCCUCCUUUUCCCAUGAGAGCUCUGUAGAACUCACCAGGUCUGGCAUGGCAGAAGCAUUCUGGAACUCAGCAGUGCUUUUCCUUUGCUCUGAGUAAUGCUCUUAUACUUCUCAGCUGGCUACCCAAGGCAGCUCAGCUCUGCUGGGUAUUACUGGGCAUAUCUACUUCUGUUUUAUAAUUGUUGUGUUUCUUCUGGUAUGAGACAAAGCAGGUUGUUAUCUUAGAGUCACGGUUUGUUCACCUCCUAUGUUUUUCCUGCAGGAGAAACAUGUACGCGGUUGUCACAGGGAGCUGAUGGUCAGGCUGUGAUACUCAGCUAAAAACUGCUCAUCAGAAGUGCUAACAUGCAGAAUUUGCAGUGCUGCAUGCCUGUAGUUGGUAGGAAUAAGAGGUGAAGAAGUCUCUCAAGUGUUAAUAUUCAUUGUGCUAGAUGGGUGCAAAUGGGCAGCUGUGUUCCCAGGAGACAGUCAUGUUGCAGGGGCAUUGAAACAGCUUCUGAAAGAGUAGCUGAGACAGAGAGGUGCUUCUUGAGGACGAAGUUGUCUGUAGACUUCUGGAGAUGCUAAAGUGGGCGAUGGGCUUCCCUUCUUUUUAAUCACUGAUUUUUAAAAGCAGUCCUGGAAAUACAUUGUACUGAUUUAAAUUGCUGAUAUGAGGAGCUUCUGUCCAUUAUGAGGAAAAAAAGCUUAAACUUCAAAACCUGAUGCUGAGUUGCAGUUUAGAUUUUUCUCUCCAAAUAUCCCAGAAUCAAGUAUUUCUUGCCAGGAAAUAUUCUUCUGCUUAAUUUCAGAUGCCAUAUUGUUAACGUAAAGCAGAAUUUGAAUGUGAAAUGAUGCAAAAGGUCCUCGCUUUCAUGAUUGCUGGAUAGCUGCUCCCUGUACAGUUCUCUGUAUACGGUUGAACACGUGGGGCCUGUUAAUCGAACUAAUCAACAGCAUGCUUGAACAGUGGGACGUUUUUAACCUUGGUAAUUCAUCUUGCCCUUCUCAAAGAAAGGAGGAGACGAAGGAUGUUUUGCACUGCACCUGUUUCUGGUUCUUCAGGGUGCAAUGAGUGUAGCCAGUAUCCAGAGACAGGGCUGGAUGGAGUAGUACAGCCUUCAGAGCACGUUGGUGUUUUUCAUUUUUGUGAAGGUUUGGUUUUUUUCCUGACUGACAUCACAAUGCAGUGCUGCACUCACACAGCUCAUCUUUUUGGAUCGUUGCGUCUCACUUUAAAUAGUGAGGUUUGAAAACUGAACUGGGAGUAGUCCAACAAGUUUAUUCUCUUAGGCCAUUGCAUUGAAAGCAUUUAACAGCUAGCAGGAGCAGGACCAACAGUGUAUCAUACUUGUGCAAAAAGAGGGAACUAGGAAGUGAGCAGCAACUUACUGCUUUUUUUGUUCUGUUCUUUGGUCAGCACAGAGGAACACAACAGAUCUCCUUAGGAGCCUGUGUUAGAUUUCUCAUUAUGACUGCAACUUCUGGGACAUCCUUAGUAAAUCAAAGUCAUUUCUGAAUUACCUGAGCACAAAAAAAAAAAAAAAAAAAAAAAACGAACCGGAACAUAAAGUUGACAGCUGUGAGGUUUUCUUUCUGCGUUCACCUCCCUCAGAAACAGCUGAAGGGAUUUUAGAAGACUUUCCGAAGAUAUCCCCCUUUGCACAUAGGGCAGAGUUAAACAGAAGAAAAACUUAGUAAAUCUACUACAACUCACUGUGUUUUGACAGCUUUUGUCUCUUCCUUAUUGCAGUAGUUUGUGCAUGUGUUUAGUUGGUACCAGUAUUUCAUGGAUAACUGCUCUUAACACAGGUUUUACAAAAGGUUGGUUGCCAUUCAUUAUUUCCCAGGGUGAGGAGUGUGCUGUUAGGCAGAGGUCAGAAUGUGCAGCCAUGGCUUGGGAACAUUUUCUCGCUGAAGUCAAAACCUGAGGAGUGAGCCAUGGGCUGAAGGACUCUGAUUGGAAUAUUGAUGUGAAUCGUGGCUGUGGGAAGGAAGAAUGGGGAGAGGGAGCAACUAAGCACACAUUCACAAUAACAAACAGCAACAAAAACCCCAUAAAAGCAGAUGUAUUUCAUUGAGAACAUAUAAAAAAAAAAGGGCGAAAGGAACGAAGAUGGCUAAUAUUUCCACAGGUGAUUUUUUUCUAUUGGCCUUCUGUCCCCAGAUGGAAGACAUUCUGUCCCAGCAGCUUAAUCAAGAGUUCAGGAGUUUACGGAAAGGUUGGAAUGAGGUUCAGUUUCUCCGUAUUUUGGUGAAACUGUGCAAUAACUGUUUUCAUUUGACUGUCUCUGUGACACGUGUGCACACCCGGGUCGGAUUUGGCAGAGAAAGAGUUAACAGCAAACUGUACCUCCCUUUCCUGCCCUUUGAAUGGGCCCUAAUGAUUCUGUGCUCUGUAAUGUGAUCACAGAAGUAGGAAGCCAUGAUGAAUUGGUUGGUUGCUGGUCCUGCAAGUGUGUGUUUUAUUACAGCAUGCAAACUUUGUGCUCUGCAGCAUCUAGAGAAAAGGACCUGGAUUCCAAAUCAUAGCUGAGUUUGAUGUGCAAGUCUGUUUUUAUGAGGUGUAUCUGCUGGCUCAGGGCUGAGCACCAAGGAGGUGUGCAGCAGGAUGGGAGAAGCUGCCCUUAUGCUCAAAGCGGGAAGCGUUUCUAUGGGAAUUAAUUUUGCUAUGUUGAAUUUGGGUGUGGAGUGAGCUGCAAAAUCCUUCAGCCUCAUUCUUCCCUCCCUCUUCUAUGUCCUUGUUCAUUCUCUAAAUAAUUUCAUGCAUGCAACUCCAAAAUUCCAGGUGUUCAGUGUGCGGUAGUGUCCCACAAGACCAUCGUCACUGGGCCACAGGACUCCAUGGCAGGGGCAGAAAGCCCACUGGGACACAUGGCAGGAGCAGCAUGGUGGCCUGGGUGUUUUCACAACAGUGGAAAACCGCAUUGUGUAAAGGAACAGUAAGCCAUGUGGGUAAAUGCGAACAGCAGUUUAAACGUGCAGUUUGUGACCAUUGCCUCCCAUACUGUCACUGGGCACCCGUGAGAAGAGCCUUUUCUUGACUCCUUCUCUUCCCCAUCAGGAAAGGAGCAUUUCCUUGUCUGCCCUGGUAAAUGGUUCUCCUACAGCCCCACGUGACGUGUCCUGUCUGCCAGCCAAGGAGGGCUGGCUGUGACAGCUUCAUGACCCCUCAGCUCUGCUCCUCACAAUGAGCGUGAGCCCUGACAAGUCUGGAGGUCCAGCGGUGUCCAGCUGACUUGUGUGCUCUCUGGCAGUUGGGAACCAGCGCAGCGUCUGCCUGCAGCGUUUCCAGUGGUUGGAGGAGGACGAAAAGUGCACAGCCUCUGUUGCAUGAAGGUGAGAGUUGGAAUUCUGCAGAAUUUGUCCAGAUUCUGUGCUGACUUCUCGAGAAAGCAGUGAGGAAGAAGAUUAAUUGAAAUCUGUCUCAUUCGGGGUCCAAGAGUUGUGGUAGCGAAACCUUCCUUCUGCAUCCUUCUUUCUGUCACUGCUCUCAGCAUUGCUUUGGGAGAGCGUUCUGAGCUCGCUGAAUGUGAGGCUCUUCCUUUUCACUGAUCCACUCCAUAAGCAACCUGUGUUGUGAUUCAUUCAUUGAGGAUAUGGAUGUAGCAAAGCCUUACUAAUGUUCCAGAACUGUGUUUUGGAUACUGUGAGGGCUUCAGGAGUAUUGGAAAGCUUUUGAAAUCUUCAGGGCUUGCAUUAUAAGCCUUCAAAAUGUAGAAAGCCCAGUUGGGUCAGCUGUGCAGGGUACCAGAGCAGAGUGGAGAGCUGAUGACAUAAUCCAGAUAAAGCAAAAACACCCAACCUGCUGUCCAUACAUAAAGGUAUGAGAGUCUACUUGGCCGAUUCCCCUUGAAAAGCCUGCAGCUGUUUCCAUACCGACUCCCACCCACCCACCCACCUGUGAGUCCAGUGUCACCUCAGCCAGGGGAGCUUGCGUGCACACAGAAUGGAAGUGGAAGACGAGCCCCUUUUAUUUUAACAACCCUUCCGACCUUUAACAAAAAUAAAAUGGAGAUGGCAGUUGUUUUUCUGUCUUUAAAGACAAAAACCUUUUUUGCACAUCUUUUGGCUUGAUGACGGGAGCAGGUGUUCUCCCACAGAUACGGCUCUGUGCUGGGACCACUGCUGGCUGGUCUGGUGUGUGAAGGGUUGGUAAAUGCCCGAUGGGGAGCAAAGGUACUGGAAAGGAGUGGGCUGUUAAAUCUCACUGGUACUGAACAAAUGUAAUAGCUGUCUUCAGUGUAAUUCAUAGCACAUAGGGGGAAUUCAGAAGGUAUUGUAUUUGUAGCUCUUAACGAACAGUUGAUUUCCUGACAUGAGUAAAUCUGUUAAAAAGCUGGGUAUGUAGCAAGCAGAUACAAAUGUCAUGGCAUAGAUUCUGUAUUGGCUGACGUGCAGGGAAGAGAGUAAUAGCAAUGCAGAGACCUCCGAGUAUGAAAUCCUAUAAAGCAUUUUUUUGUUCAAAUGGAAACAGUGAUAUGCUGGUAGUGUCCCCAUCAUGGAGGAGCACAAAGGGGUGGUCAAGGGAUAGGAGAAGAAAGGAAGAAUGUCCUUUGUUUCUUCCCUCUGGGACCUUCAAGAGCUGUUGAUAAACAUAAAGAUAGAAAAUACACACAUAAAGAUAGUAGUUCUAAGGGUUGGAAAAGAUAAUGUGAGGCACCCAAGGUUUUUCCCAGGUCAGAAAGCUUUGGAACUGUCCCAGAGUUCAGUUUCUGUGAUCUUCAUUUUGCUGAGCAGUUCAUGGCAGCAGAGAGGACUCGUUGGUGUCCGGACAAAGAGGGAAGAGGAAACCAAGCUGUAAAGAUGUGUGGAAAAGCAAGGAAUUAAUUACUGCUUGCACUGGUUGUUUGUCGCCUUACUGCCCUUCUUGCCUCCCUGGAGCCCAGCUGACUUCCUGGGAUUGCUGAACGGCUGCCUUUUGCCACCUCCUGCCUGUCGCAUCGAACACCAGGGCGAAUUGGGUGGCUCUACAUGAAGCACUACAACAAACGUGACAGGCGAAGACCCAUCCCUGCGGAGCGGCACUACUCCCUCCACGUUCUCCAGAACCAUCGGCGCAACCUGGGCCUGGUGGGCGGCACAUCUUCCAGCACGCUGAGGAUCAGCAGUGUCUGCAGCACCAGACAGCGCAUGGUCGGCUCGCUGUCCUCCUUGGCUCCCUCCAGGGCUGCAAUGGAGCGGUGCUGUGUCACCACGUGGGCCCCACAUGGCACUUCCUGGGGCACGGGGCAGCGGGGGGGGAUGGCUCACCUUUACGGAUGUCCGACAUCUUCUCCCGGUUCUCAUUCCUCAGCUUUCGCCCUAGCAGCCCUGCGCACA